rnacentral:pre_miRNA from 1 species
UGGAAAAAAAAUUCUUAGCAAGCUUUUGGGUUUAAAACCUCUUUUUGUCUUUUAAACCCAAAAGCUUGCUAAGAGAAUUUUUUUCC